GGGCAGCUGGCCCUCAACGGAGACAGAGCAAAGUGCAAGGGGCAGAGUCAGACUGUGACCUGUAGUAUACCACUACGAAUCUUUAACCUCUGAAAAGUAUUUUCCUGAGCACCAGUAAUGCAGCUCCCUGUAGCUGGUAUAAUGUAGACAACAAGCUAUUCUCUCUCUCCCCAUUGUAAUGAAGGAAAUCGUGGCUUACCUCUGCUUAUCAACAGCGUGAUCCCCGUGGUUCGGAGGAGGUGGCUGGUUGCCAUGUUCCCCUUGGAAAGAGAAGGUCACAGAAAAGGCUUCAGGUAGGACCAAUAGGCCAAGCUUUGGACAGCGAGAGGCAUUUGAAGCAAGAGAACUGCUCUGCCUCAGAAAAUACCUGAGUGUCCUUGCUAACAGUGAGGGACCUUGUAGGUACCCACCAUCAAACCAACAAACCUACUGCAUGAGAGACGAGAAGCAGUGCUGCCUGAAUGGAUGAACCAAUACAGAAUGAAGAUUUGGGUCAGUGUGUUGUGGCCUGGAGAAUUUCCUCCUAGCAAAAUUUGAUGGUUCUCUGUUGCAAAAACACCCUGAAGAGAGGAGACACAACAUACAAAAAUUGCAUCUUGAGAAGACAGAACAUAUAGCACGAUCAAACCCUUUUUAGCAUCUACAGCUUGUCACCCAGAAAAGGUGAAAUCCAAAAGACUUUCAUCAUUAGACAAAGCUGUACCAUCUGGCCUAUGAUCAUCGUGUAGGAUCCAUCUCUUUUGCACUGUGGUAUAAGCUAUAAGGACUCCAUAAAAACUGUUUCAGGAUCUGGAAGGUGGCAGCAAUAUGCCUCAGAAAAGUACUUCCCUGAUGCCUUGGAGAGGCAGCUAGGGGACAAGAGACAUGAUUUAACAUUUCAGCAUCUUGGCAUGUUUGAACCCCUGUGCAACUCUCGGCAAUCUGAAGGACAGAUUUAUAAUGAAGCCAACAGGGCUGCAGAGCUGCACCGAGAUCUUCUGAACCUGGACUGCAGUCUGUCCCCACAGAUUCUGGAAGAGCAGGAAUAGGUUUCAGCUCAGUAUAAAAUCAUGUGGCUUGGCAGCUGCCUACACCAAAGACACUGGAGAAACAUUACCUGGAAAAGCGUGGCAGAGCCAGAGGUUCUCAGUUCUGUUCCUAGUCCAUGAAAACGACUGCUCUCCCUUCUGCUGGUGACUAAUACCAUCUUUGUGACAAUGACAGCCAUUUGUUUCUUACCAAGGCAAUAAAAAAAAUUAAAAAUUUGGGCUUCUUUUAAGUCCAGUGCAGCAGCAACAGCAGCAGCAAACAAGAACAGCUCAUUUUUUUUAUGGACUACUAAUAUGAAGUUCAAAAACUGCAGGUAGUCUGAGAAAUAGAAUUUGGAAACCAUUAGACCUUAUUCUCUUGAUAUUUUAGCUAUCAUUAGAUCCCUGUAUAGCAUCCAACAUACGGCCCAAGUUACCACAAACUUUCUUUCAGCAGUGAACCAUAGGAAAUGCAUUACACUUAAGAAAUAUAAUGCCACUUUGCAUUAAUAAAGUAAACCAAUUCAA